UACGGAGGGUGCAAGCGUUGUUCGGAAUCAUUGGGCGUAAAGCGCGUGUAGGCGGCUUGGCAAGUCAGUUGUGAAAGCCCGGGGCCCAACCCCGGAACUGCAUCUGAAACUGCCUGGCUAGAGUCCCGGAGAGGAAGGCAGAAUUCCCGGUGUAGGGGUGAAAUCCGUAGAUAUCGGGAGGAAUACCAGCGGCGAAGGCGACUUCUUGGCCUGUUCUUGACGCUGAGGCGCGAAAGCUGGGGGAGCAAACGGG
rnacentral:rRNA from 1 species